GAAAAGAAACUAACAAGGAUUCCCCUAGUAACUGCGAGUGAAGCGGGAAAAGCUCAAAUUUAAAAUCUGGCGGUUUCGGCCGUCCGAGUUGUAAUCUGGAGAAGCGUUUUCCGCGUUGGACCGUGUACAAGUUUCCUGGAACGGAGCGUCAUAGAGGGUGAGAAUCCCGUCUUGGACCCGGGCCCCAAUGCUUUGUGAUACGCUCUCAAAGAGUCGAGUUGUUUGGGAAUGCAGCUCAAAAUGGGUGGUGAAUUCCAUCUAAAGCUAAAUAUUGGCGAGAGACCGAUAGCGAACAAGUACCGUGAGGGAAAGAUGAAAAGCACUUUGGAAAGAGAGUUAAACAGUACGUGAAAUUGUUGAAAGGGAAACGCUUGAAGUCAGUCGCGUUGGCCGGGACUCAGCCUUGCAUCCGCUUGGUGUACUUUCCGGUCGACGGGCCAGCAUCAAUUUUGACCGCGGGAUAAAGUCUGGAGGAAGGUGGCUCUUCGGAGUGUUAUAGCCUCCGGUCACAUGCCGCGGUUGGGAUUGAGGAAUUCAGCACGCCUUUUAUUAGGUUCGGGGUUCGCCCACGUUCGUGCUUAGGAUGCUGGCGUAAUGGCUUUAAACGA
rnacentral:rRNA from 1 species